GGCUUCAUGAUCGAGUGGUAAAGACACUUGCCUCUCACACUGGAGUCCUGGGUUCGAUCCUCGAUCGAGGAGCUA